rnacentral:lncRNA from 1 species
CACAAGGCUACUGAGAAAACUCAAAGGUACAAAAGGGCUCCUAACGCCUAAUCUGAACAAUCAUGGCUUCACUUCAGCUUCAUGACAAUAGCCAAAGCAAGAUUCAGUCUAUAACCCAAAGUCAAAGCUGCAUCGUCUCCAUGACUUGGGGUGGCUGUGGGAUGUCUGACAGGAGUUUCCAUGAGGAUCCAGUGACAAUUGUGUACCAGAAACCAGGACCUUGACCCAGACCAAUGGUUCAUUGCAAUGAACAUUUACAAGUAAAGCUGAUUGUACAAAGGGGGAUACUUAGUGGCACACUGCAGUUUCCAGUGUCACAAAGAAGAAUGAAGAGGUGUUGAAGAAGCAGGAAAGAUGGGGGAGAGCUCUUUGGGAAUAGAUAAACCUCCCUGAGUCUUACUGAUAAUGUCACCUUGGUAUGGAAUCCUCACUUCUACUGAGAAAAGCAACUGACAGGAGCAUGAAUAUGGAGAAAGCAACUGCUCAGCUUCUGUUGCCCUCAAUUCGCAGCCCAUUUCCCCUAUUCUCAGAACCUAAAAGUAAC